AGGGAGUAGACCAGCAGGAGAUCCCUCUCCACGUUCUUAUGAAGCGACACCAGUAUCACCCCGUCCAACUGAUUCGGAGAAUGUCGAUGCACUAACGAAACAGAAGACUGAAACAUCAGACUUAAUAUCACCCCGUCCAACUGAUUCAGAGAUUGUUGCUACACUAACGAAACAGAAGAUUGAAACAUCAAACUUAAGACAGGCACUUCUGUCAAGGCUGAAAGAAACAGAAGAAGAAAUAGAAAAGUGCGAUGAGUAUCUUCAGUCAGUGGAGAAUGAACUUGACAAAGGGGCCACAAACUGUGACGAGUUAAUACGUAAUAAAGAAAGACUUUUAGAGUCCAAACGGAGACUGUA